CUUCCUGGGAGCAGGUGUUCCAAGGGAGGGCUGCGGGGGAGGGGUGGUCCCCAGCACCAUCAGGCUUUCCUUGGGCACAUAUUGGCCAGGCUGACAAAACGGCCUAAGGAUCGCUGCCAGCUUGUGUCCAGGGAGGCCGCAGGUUGGACACAGGGAGUGGAGGCUGUUCUUUCCCAAGGGAGCAGCUGGCUGCAGAUCAAAGAGAAGUGGAUGCUGGCUUGCCUGUGGGAGUGGAAUUGGGCCAGAGGGAGUUGAAAGCCCCCAGAGGGGGGAAAGAUGAUGUGCCCUUUCGUUCUUUAGCAUGGGGCUGUCCCUGGGAACUCUGAGAAGGUGGCUAAGAGUCGGGGAGCUUGGAGAGCAGGGCUGUGGUGCCUAAGGGUAAACGUGCAGCAGCCCCAUAGCUGAUUGGGCAAGUCUGUGACCUCUCAGGGGGGAUGAGUGCCCCUCUGAUGUCCUUUUCCCAACAUUACAGACGACUCUCUGCGUGGGGCCACGGCUUGCAGUCAAUCUCGAAUUUCCCCUGCACCCUUCAUGGUGAAGUCCUGGCUGGCCGGAUUCCCCUUUCUUUGCCGUUCUGUUGUCCCAGUGAGCAUGGGAGCCCCUGGAAUCAGUAUAGAAGUUCCCUCUCAGUCUUUUCCCCAUUUUCAAGCUUUGUGGAGGACAAUGAGCUCGCCUUCUGAGCAGAGAUUCCCCAGGGAAGCGGUUUAGCCUCCAAAGUCCUUCUGAGCGUCACCAUGGAGUCUCGUAGCUUUCUGUGCCCAUCUUCCCCAAAACUGGACCCAUCAGUGAACCAUUCGCCAUGUAGGUUGUGGAGAGAAGCAUCUCACCUAGAGCAGACAAUGUAAAGUUUCCUCACUGCUACGAAUAAUAGCACUGGACUGUGUAGGGUCAGGAAACAGGGCGGCAGGUGACGAGGGGGACACAGGCAGAGAAUUAAAUUGGGAGGAUCUACUAGGAGGGCCCGAUAGUGGAUUAGCCUUUGCUAGCCAGCAACAGAGAUGGGUUGGAGCUUCUAGAAUGUUCUGAAGCCCCUGGGCAGUUUUCUAAAUGGUUCAUAACUGUUGGUCAGUAACUGUUUUUAACUACUGUUCAAAACUGUCCAAGCUUUCCCCACAGCUGGGUCUGGGGAAAUUGUGGUCCUAUGGUUAUCUUGUACAACUUUUUCUGAAUGUCUGGAGCAGCCGAAGUAAUCACACAUGUUGAGGACAGUGGUCCCUUCAGGAGAAGAGCAGUCCAGGAAAUCUGCAGCUCAAUGGGGAGAAGAAACAGGAUACUUCCCAAGGGGAAGAAGAUGGACAUUCAGUGAAACAGGUGAAUUCCAUUUAUUACUGAUGAAAAGACCAGAGCUAAACAAAAAAUUUGACCUCCAAAUACAGAACUCAAGAGCAGCAUAAAAAGACUUGGACCUGCUGUUUGGCAGAAGGCUCUGCCAACAGGCCCUGGGGGAUCUCACCCCGAGUCAAUCUCCCCACAUAGUGGAUAAGAAAACUAAACUAACUCAACCACCAGGCUAAAUGUCUGUUCUCCACAGAACUGGCCCCACUGCCUGGCAGAAGCUUCCACCAAUGGGCCAAGGUGCUCCUCUUCCUCAGUCAACCUCACCUCUUUAUCACAUAUUGAGUAAAAAAAAAAAGAAAGAAAACCAAACACGCUGACUCAGCUCAACCCCUCCUAAGAUGAAUGUGUGCCCUCCAGAGACUUGGCCCCAACACUUGGCAGAAACUCUUGCCAACAGGCCAAAAGGUCCUCUUCCCCAGUCGAACAGAAGGCAUUGUGCCAUCUUUGGAAAAAGAUCCCCCCCAAGCACACCAACUCCCCUCAACAUCCAGGCUAAAUGUAGGCCCUCCACAGAUAGGGCUCCUGCAGGGCUCCCUGGCAGAAAGUUCCACCAAGGGGCCAGGGUACUCCUCUUCCCCAGUCGAUCUCAGCACAUUUUCCCUGAAAACUUGGGGGAAGAGAUGCCUCUCCAGCAUUCAUCAUGGUGUCAGCAGCUGGGCGGCCUGGAUAGUCCCUACCCUUAGAAGAGGCCAGUCUCUGGGCUGACCAAUGACCUCCCUUGCCUGCCAUGAGAGGUCAAACAGGAAGCCAUCCCACUCCAGUCAGCCCCUUCCUCCCUCAGGCUGCAGCACCUGCCUGCCACAGGCUUUAGGAACUCCUGCCAAAGGCCCCAGGAAGAAGAGGCUCAGCCACCCUUACAAAGGAAAAUUGCAAACACCAGUCCACCCUUUUCACCAGAUAGAUGAUGUGGAAAUUGAGAAUCAAGAAUUACCAAUUGAACAUGAAGUUCCAGCCAACAUUGUUCCCCAGGUCUCUGGGUCACUGGAUGCCCUGUUUGCUCAGUAUCUUGAACAUUAA